UACGUAGGGUGCGAGCGUGAAUCGGAAUUACUGGGCGUAAAGCGUGCGCAGGCGGUUUUUUAAGCCAGAUGUGAAAUCCCCGGGCUUAACCUGGGAACUGCAUUUGUGACUGCAUGGCUGGAGUGCGGCAGAGGGGGAUGGAAUUCCGCGUGUAGCAGUGAAAUGCGUAGAUAUGCGGAGGAACACCGAUGGCGAAGGCAAUCCCCUGGGCCUGCACUGACGCUCAUGCACGAAAGCGUGGGGAGCAAACAGG
rnacentral:rRNA from 1 species